AUGAAAAAAAAUUAUAUGCUACAGUGGCACCGGUGGGUCAGCUGGUAAAGCGUUGGCCUCACAGUUCUGAGGUCCAGGGUUCAAUCCCGGGCCCGCCUGUGUGGAGUUUGCAUGUUCUCCCCGUGCCUGAGUGGGGUUUCCUCCGGGCACUCCGGUUUCCUCCCACAUCCCAAAAACAUGCAAUAUUAAUUGGACACUCUAAAUUGCCCCUAGGUGUGAUUGCGAGUGCGACUCUUUGCCUCGAUAUGCCCUGCGAUUGGCUGGCAACCAGUUCAGGGUGUACCCGGCAUUUUCCUUGUUGACAGCUGGGAUAGGCUCCAGCGCUCCCUGCGAGCCUUGUGAGGAUAAGCGGUUAAGAAAAUGGAUGGAUGUCCCCGACGGAAGUCAAGAGCCGAUCGGCUAGUAACGGACUUCCUGUAUUUUGGGGUUCCACCACCAGGUCUCUUUCUUGAUCACCUUGGCUGUAGUAGUCCAGUCUUUCGGAAGCUCCUCCUGGUGUGCCGAUUCCAACAUUUUGGGAUCUCCGGCAGCUGGGAGUGAAUUUGCCAGCCAGAAACGAAGUCCUCCUCGAAGUCGUCGCCGGCGCGCCCGCAGCCGGUCGACCGAGGGGAGUCGGGUGGCGGCGACGGCGGCAGCGUGGGCUGAAGGGCCGGG